GGGGCUAUAGCUCAGUGGCAGAGCACUUGCCUAGCAUGUAUGAGGCACUGGGUUCAAUCCUUAGCACCA
rnacentral:tRNA from 1 species